rnacentral:rRNA from 1 species
UCGGGAAUUUUGGGCAAUGGGGGAAACCCUGACCCAGCAACGCCGCGUGAAGGAUGAAGUAUUUCGGUAUGUAAACUUCGAAAGAAUAGGAAGAAUAAAUGACGGUACUAUUUAUAAGGUCCGGCCAACUACGUGCCAGCAGCCGCGGUAAGACGUAGGGGGCGAGCGUUGUCCGGAUUUAUUGGGCGUAAAGAGCUCGUAGGCGGUUGCGUAAGUCGGAUGUGAAAACUCAGGGCUCAACCCUGAGACGCCAUCCGAUACUGCGCUGACUUGAAUCCAGUAGGGGAGUGUGGAAUUCCUGGUGUAGCGGUGAAAUGCGCAGAUAUCAGGAGGAACACCCAUGGCGAAGGCAGUACUCUGGGCUGGUAUUGAUGCUGAGGAGCGAAAGCAUGGGUAGCGAACAGGAUUAGAUACCCCCGUAGUCCCUGAGCGGGCUGGCAAGGCGCAU